rnacentral:rRNA from 1 species
GAGCAACGCCGCGUGAGGGAGGAAGGUCUUUGGAUUGUAAACCUCUUUUCUCAAGGAAGAAGCAAGUGACGGUACUUGAGGAAUCAGCCUCGGCUAACUCCGUGCCAGCAGCCGCGGUAAUACGGAGGAGGCAAGCGUUAUCCGGAAUUAUUGGGCGUAAAGAGUCCGUAGGUGGCGAUUCAAGUCUGCUGUCAAAGCGUGGAGCUCAACUCCAUCAAGGCAGUGGAAACUGAAUGGCUAGAGUCCGGUAGGGGUAGCGGGAACUCCCAGUGUAGCGGUGAAAUGCGUAGAGAUUGGGAAGAACAUCGGUGGCGAAAGCGCGCUACUGGGCCGGAACUGACACUGAGGGACGAAAGCUAGGGGAGCGAAAGGGAUUAGAUACCCCUGUAGUCCUAGCCGUAAACGAUGGAAACUAGGCGUGGCUUGUAUCGACCCGAGCCGUGCCGAAGCUAACGCGUUAAGUUUCCCGCCUGGGGAGUACGCACGCAAGUGUGAAACUCAAAGGAAUUGACGGGGGCCCGCACAAGCGGUGGAGUAUGUGGUUUAAUUCGAUGCAACGCGAAGAACCUUACCAGGACUUGACAUGUCGCGAAUCUCGGUGAAAGCUGAGAGUGCCUUCGGGAGCGCGAACACAGGUGCUGCAUGGCUGUCGUCAGCUCGUGUCGUGAGAUGUUGGGUUAAGUCCCGCAACGAGCGCAACCCUCGUUCUUAGUUGCCAGCAUUCAGUUGGGCACUCUAGGGAGACUGCCGGUGACAAACCGGAGGAAGGUGAGGAUGACGUCAAGUCAGCAUGGCCCUUACGUCCUGGGCGACACACGUACUACAAUGGUAGGGACAAAGGGCAGCGACCCCGCGAGGGUAAGCGAAUCUCAUCAAACCCUGCCUCAGUUCAGAUUGCAGGCUGCAACUCGCCUGCAUGAAGGAGGAAUCGCUAGUAAUCGCCGGUCAGUAUACGGCGGUGAAUCCGUUCCCGGGCCUUGUACACACCGCCCGUCACACCAUGGGAGCUGGCCACGCCCGAAGUCGUUACUCCAACCCCUCGUGGGAGGAGGAUGCCGAAGGCAGGGCUAGUGACUGGGGUGAAGUCGUAACAAGGUAGCCGUACCGGAAGGUG